rnacentral:rRNA from 1 species
CCUACGGGGGGCAGCAGUGGGGAAUAUUGCGCAAUGGGCGAAAGCCUGACGCAGCGACGCCGCGUGAGGGAUGAAGGUCUUCGGAUCGUAAACCUCUGUCAGCAGGGAAGAACGGUCACUGUGCUAAUCAGCAGUGAAUUGACGGUACCUGCAAAGGAAGCACCGGCUAACUCCGUGCCAGCAGCAGCGGUAAUACGGAGGGUGCGAGCGUUAAUCGGAAUUAAUGGGCGGAAAGCGCUCGUAGGCGGUAUGUCAAGUCAAGGGUGAAAUCCCCGCGCUCAACGUGGGAACUGCCUUUGAAACUGGCAAAAUGGAGUGUGUGAGAGGAUAGUGGAAUUCCAGGUGUAGGAGUGAAAUCCGUAGAUAUCUGGAGGAACAUCAGUGGCGAAGGCGACUAUCUGGCACAUAACUGACGCUGAGGAGCGAAAGCGUGGGUAGCAAACAGGAUUAGAUACCCCAGUAGUC